rnacentral:lncRNA from 1 species
AGAAAUUAAACAAUCUGUACUCUUGUCCCAAUCCCCACCUUGGAGUUCAUGGGGACAGGAGCCUGGAUCUGCAGGAGCAAGGCUUCUGGAGAGCAACUACAAAUGCUUCUAUUGCCUUACCCUCACGAGAAAAGAACUGGGAAUAUUUCCUAAUGAAAAACUCACUUGGCUGCGGAGACUAGAACAUUGACCCAGAAAUUUCAUCAUUCACUUGUUACUAUAAUUCAAUCUCUAUGUGACAGA